CAAGGAUGUCUUGGCCUGUGUUCAUGAUGGUUGUGAACCAACCACCUUAGCUAUAUGAUAUUGAACAAUGUACAUGUUCAAGAGCAUAAAUUAAUAAUUCAUUGAAGCAACAAAGUUGUAGUCUUGUAGACAGUAGGUUUACAAGUUAUAACAACGAGGAUAGAUGUACUUCAUGGAAAUCUGAUCGCCACGCAAGUAAACCAUUCUAUUCUCUACAUCUCCUCAUGCCAAGGCCACAGAAGCUGCAAAGCUUACUAUGAUACCUUUAAUGGUGGACAACAUGGUGAUAGGAGGCAGAGAGAAGCACCAAGAAUCAACGCGAUAGCUCAUAGUUGACACGUACGGUAAGCUCUAGAUAUUUUCCCAAAAUGUGGUUCGUAGUAUUGUUCAUAGCCUUGAGGUUUUGUUUGCCCUAACCUAUAUUUAGUUGCAUGUAACCAUUUCCAAUUUUGCAUCGCCAAAAUGCCAAAAUGGAAAUAAUAGAACUUUUGCCAAAGCACCUCUAUCACUCCUCCUCCUUUUAGCUUUAAUUUCCUCGUCAGGUUUAGUGAUGCAUAAGAUUUAUAAUUAAGAAGUAAAAUGAAGAAUAAAAGAAAAUCGAAAGGGUUCUUGUUUGUUAAUACACGCAUGUAACAUGACUAAGUAAAAAAAUAUACAGUUCCAGAAAAAAGCUAGCUUGAAGAGAACACUCCUUGUGCCUGAGGCCAACUAUAAAUCCGGCCGAGACUUCAGAGCUGAUAAACACAUCUGAGGUUUAUCGGUUGGUAAAACCUACUACUAUGGCCUUCUUCUUCUUCCUCCUCAAAGUUGCAGUGCUAGCUCAUUUCACAGUAGCUCAUAAUAUCAAGCAGAAUCUGCAUGCAGGUGGUGGUGAUGGGGUGCAGCCACUUUCCAAGAUUCAAAUCCUAAGAGCUGUUUCUCAGCUCCACGAAAAUGCUUCCGUUUCUGCGUACCCUGUCCUCCUUGGCGCCAAGGUACAUUGAUAUUUCGUCCAACUAACUAUUAGUUUGGUAACAUUUAUUUUCCAAUAGUUAAAUAACUCGUGUUUCGUGAAUCAAAACUAUAUGUUACUUCUUUUUUUCUUUUUUUUGCGGAAAUACUCGUUGCAUAUAUGCAUGUUGAGUUAGUCCAAUCAAGAAAGACACAACACUUUUGACAUUUAUAAACUCUAAAGUAAAGACACAAACAUGUGACACUGCUAGGCUCACCGAAUUUGUUCAUGUGAGUUUUACUAACAUAUGUUUUUACUGUAUGUGCAGGGGGGAAGAUUUUGGGUGGGUAACAGUGACAGUUUCUUGUCCUAAUCCUGCACAAGAUGAUUGGGUUGCAGUUUUUUCUCCUGCAGAUUUUAAGUAAUGUCGAUUCUUGCAAGUUUCUGGUUUUAACUGCUAUGUAUUUUUAAGCUAAAAUUUUCAAUCUAAUGGCUAGUGGAUCCACCUGUCCAAACAAUGAAGACGUCAAUAAGUACUAUGAGCCCUAUAUUUGCACAUCGCCUAUUAAGGUAACUGUUAUGUGCUUAUUGGAAUGUAUUGCACCUCAUGUGUUCGACGUAAUGUCCCACUGAACUCUUGGUGUUUUGAUUUCAGUACAAGUUUGCCAAUUAUUCCAGUGCUGAUUACGCAACCACUAGUAACUCAACUUUGUACUUUCGACUGAUCAAUCAACGGGCAGACUUUUCGUUUGCAUUGUUCUCUGGCGGGCUGUCAAAUGUGUGUUUGUGUCUCUCCUCUAUCAGCUGAUAUUAAUGCCUCUAACCCGAUGGCAAUUCAAUUGUUGGCUAACAUAUGUAUUCGUUGUAAUGCAGCCGAGAUUAGUGGCAGUUUCGAAUAAGGUGACCUUCGCCUACCCAAAGGCUCCCCUGUACCCACGUCUUGCUCUAGGGAACCUUUGGGAUGAAGUAAGUUCAUGUUACUAUGCGCUAGUUCUUUUAUUUCCAUUCACAUAAUCAGAAUGCGGACUCCUAGUUGUAGAGUCUUCUCAUGCUCAAGUUAUGUAUGAUUUUUUAUUUUGCAGAUGACAGUGACUUGGACAAGCGGCUAUAACAUCGAUGAAGCUGUACCUUUAGUUGCGUGGGGUUUAAAGGGGGAGCCUCGAAUGCACAACUCUCCGGCAGGAACAUUGACUUUCAGUAGACGGGACAUGUGUGGUAUGAAUUAUAUGAUCAAUCUAGUCACUUACAUAAAUAACUGAAUGAGAAAACAUAUAGUAAGACAGCUCUUGUAAAUUUUUCCCAGCUGCACCUGCACGAACAGUUGGUUGGCGUGAUCCUGGUGUCAUCCAUACAAGUUUUCUAAAAGAUUUAUGGCCAAAUUAUGCAUCUUGAAUAUAAGAUUCCUCUUGUAUAUAACACCCAUUGCUGUUCCGUUAUUAAGACUGUUAUGCUGGUUUUCUGUGCAGGUACUCUUACAAGCUUGGUCAUCGGUUAUCUAAUGGGUCCUAUAUCUGGAGCAAGAUUUACUCUUUCAAGUCAGCACCAUAUCCAGGGCAGGAGUCAUUGCAUCGAGUUAUCAUAUUUGGUGACAUGGGAAAGGUAAGAUCAAGAAGAUGAAAUCUACUUGAUUCUACCACUAUACACUUGUCACACAGCAUUAUGUUACCUUUCUGAAAAUACAGCCGCCUAAAUUGUUAUGCUUUACUUUUCCUCCUACCAAUUUCAGGCUGAGCGUGAUGGUUCAAAUGAAUAUGCUGAUUAUCAGCCCGGCUCACUUAUCACCACAGAUCGGCUAAUCAAGGAUUUGGACAACUUUGACAUAGUUUUUCACAUAGGAGAUAUGCCUUAUGCCAAUGGAUACAUAUCACAAUGGGAUCAGUUCACAUCACAGGUGGAGCCGAUUGCAUCAGUUGUACCAUAUAUGGUUGCGAGGUUUGUAUUCUUGUUACUUCAAUCCUAACUACUGCCGACUGUGGGCACAUGCACAACAGUUUACUGUAUAAGCUACAUGUCUCUGAAACUUACAUCAAGUUAACAACAGUGGCAACCAUGAACGAGAUACAACAGGGACUGGAUCCUUCUACGACACUAAUGAUUCAGGUGGUGAAUGUGGUGUGCCAGCUGAAACCAUGUAUUAUGUUCCUGCUGAGAACAGAGCUAAAUUCUGGUAAUUAAUAACAACAAUACUUUUAUAUUAUGCACAUCUAUGUCUAGUCAAACAUUUAUGAGCAAUUGCUCAUUCUUGGUUAGUUUGGCUUAAUGUUUUAAUUCUCUUAUUUUUUUUUUUACAGGUAUGCAACAGAUUAUGGAAUGUUCCACUUCUGUAUAGCUGACACUGAGCAUGACUGGAGAGAAGGUUCCGAGCAGUACAAAUUUAUUGAGAAAUGCUUUGCAUCUGCUAACAGACACAAGCAGCCUUGGCUGAUAUUUGCUGUUCAUCGUGUUCUCGGUUAUUCCUCUGACACUUGGUAUGUAGAUGAGGGUUCAUUUGAAGAGGCGAUGGGAAGGGAUGACAUGCAAAAGCUUUGGCAAAGAUACAAUGUGGACAUUGCAUUUUACGGCCAUGUCCAUAACUACGAAAGAAUAUGCCCCAUCUAUCAGAACCAGUGUGUAAAUUCAGAAAUAUUCAACUAUUCAGGAACUGUCAACGGAACAAUCCAUGUUGUUGUUGGUGGCGGAGGCAGCCAGUUAUCAGAUUUUAGUACCCUGAAGACAGUUUGGAGCAUCUACCAAGAUCUAGACUUUGGUUAUACGAAACUCACAGCGUAUAACCACUCAUCGCUGCUCUUCGAGUACAUGAAGAGCAGGGGUGGGAAGGUCUAUGAUUCAUUAGCCAUCUCCAGGGACUACAAGGAUGUCUUGGCCUGUGUUCAUGAUGGUUGUGAACCAACCACCUUAGCUACAUGAUAUCAUCAACAAUGUAUGUGUUCAAAAUCUGAUUGUCACGCAUUUAUUUGCUUUCAGAUCAGAAAAACAAUAAGAAAAGAAUAAUUGUUUGCUGUGCUUGUCUUACUUUAUACCCACGUGGAAAGAAAAAAUUACAGACAC
rnacentral:lncRNA from 1 species